GAUGAAGAACGUAGCGAAAUGCGAUACUUGGUGUGAAUUGCAGAAUCCCGCGAAUCAUCGAGUUUUUGAACGCAAGUUGCGCCCGAAGCCAUUCGGUCGAGGGCACGUCUGCCUGGGUGUCACGCAUCGUUGCCCCCCCAAACUCCGGUUCGGGCGGGGCGGAAGUUGGCCUCCCGUGCGUGCCUGCGCGCGCGGUUAGCCCAAAAGCGAGUCCUCGGCGACGAGCGCCACGACAAUCGGUGGUUUUUUUACCCUCGUUCCUCGUCGUGCGUGUCCCGUCGCCCGAACGCGCUCUUGUGACCCUCACGCGUCGCCUCGGCGGCGCUCCCAACGCGACCCCAGGUCAGGCGGGACUACCCGCUGAGUUUAAGCAUAUCAAUAAGCGGAGGA
rnacentral:misc_RNA from 1 species